CAAAUGCACUAACCUAAACGAUGGUUGGAAAGCUUGGCUUUCCUUGGUUGGACUGAAAGUCAGUCCUCAGAGAAUUCAACAUAAUAAUCUAAAACCAUUUAUAUAAAAUACAUAGGUUUCUCGCAGAAGGUAUUCAAAGGUUUUGAGACGAUGCAAAUAUUCAACUUUAGAAUAUGAAUAAAUAUCUUUAACCAAUGAAUUCAAAAUAUCCAUAUCUAUACAAUUUAACAAAUAUGUACUGAAUAAGCU
rnacentral:lncRNA from 1 species